rnacentral:rRNA from 1 species
GAGAGAGAGACAUGCGCGCAUAUCAAUAAGCGGAGGAAAAGAAACUAACAAGGAUUCCCCUAGUAACGGCGAGUGAAGCGGGAAGAGCUCAAAUUUGAAAUCUUAAAGGGUUUCCCUUUACGAAUUGUAGUUUAAAGAAGUGUUUUCUGUUGAGGUUUUGGUAAAAGUUCUUUGGAAUAGGACAUCAUAGAGGGUGAGAAUCCCGUAUUUGACCUUUACUUUCAACUUUGUGAUACACUUUCAAAGAGUCGGAUUGUUUGGGAAUGCAGUCCAAAAUGGGUGGUAAAUUUCAUCUAAAGCUAAAUAUUGGCGAGAGACCGAUAGCGAACAAGUACCGUGAGGGAAAGAUGAAAAGAACUUUGAAAAGAGAGUUAAACAGUACGUGAAAUUGUCAAAAGGGAAGCGUUUGACACCAGUGUUGUUUUUCUGAAAAUCAAUUAAAGAACUGUUUAUGCUAAGUUGUUUAGACUUUAUCAGCUAACUGUUUAGUUUUGAGCUUUUCUUUAAUGCACUUUUCAGUUAACAAGUCAACAUCAAUUUCUUUUGCUGUAAAAAAGCUUGAGGAAGGUGGCUUGAGAUUCGUCUUAAGUGUUUAUAGCCUCUUGCCUAUGCAGUCGGAGAGAUUGAGGUCUGCAGCGUAGAUCCUUCGGGGCUAAAUGCAUUUGUGCUAAGUUAUAGCAUUUUAUAGACAACUUGUUGACUAUGAUUUGUCUUGUAGCUUACUCGCUUAUGUUAUUUUACCUACGCUUAGGAUGUUGAGCGCAUGUCUCUCUCU